rnacentral:rRNA from 1 species
CGCCUGUUUUAUCAAAAACAUUGCCACUUGACUCCUAUAUAAGUGGUAAAUCCUGCCCCAUGGACCCCUAAAUGGCCGCGGUACCCUGACCGUGCAAAGGUAGCAUAAUCACUUGCCUAUUAAUUGUAGGCUAGUAUGAAUGGACACACGAAGUCAUCACUAUCUACUUUAAGUAAAUAAAACUUAAUCUUCAAGUGAAGAAGCUUAAAUAAACCCGCAGGACAAGAAGACCCUAUAGAGCUUUAUCUUUUCCCUACAUCAUAAGUAGACUACGAUUCGGUUGGGGCGACCAGGGAAAAUUCAUCUUCCCUUAACUAAAAGAUCUACCCAUCACUCCAUAGAUCCUGACUAACAGAUCCUAGAAACUAGCUACCUUAGGGAUAACAGGCUAAUUUUCCUAGAGAGUCCCUAUUAACAGGAAAGUUUGGCACCUCGAUGUUGGCUUAGGAUCCCUCUAUGAUGUAACCGUCAUAAAUAGGUGGUUUGUUCAACCAUUAAAAUCCUACGUGAUCUGAGUUCAGACCGGA